rnacentral:rRNA from 1 species
GAUGAACGCUGGCGGCGUGCCUAAUACAUGCAAGUCGAGCGAACAGACGAGGAGCUUGCUCCUCUGACGUUAGCGGCGGACGGGUGAGUAACACGUGGAUAACCUACCUAUAAGACUGGGAUAACUUCGGGAAACCGGAGCUAAUACCGGAUAAUAUAUUGAACCGCAUGGUUCAAUAGUGAAAGACGGUUUUGCUGUCACUUAUAGAUGGAUCCGCGCCGCAUUAGCUAGUUGGUAAGGUAACGGCUUACCAAGGCAACGAUGCGUAGACGACCUGAGAGGGGGAUCGGCCACACUGGAACUGAGACACGGUCCAGACUCCUACGGGAGGCAGCAGUAGGGAAUCUUCCGCAAUGGGCGAAAGCCUGACGGAGCAACGCCGCGUGAGUGAUGAAGGUCUUCGGAUCGUAAAACUCUGUUAUUAGGGAAGAACAAAUGUGUAAGUAACUAUGCACGUCUUGACGGUACCUAAUCAGAAAGCCACGGCUAACUACGUG